AGGGGGCAGGGAGCAGCCCAGGGGGCCAGGGUCCCUUUGAGGGCCUCUGGCCCUGCAUCCUCCUCUCUCCUUGACCCCACCUUUCAAGGGGGCUGCCGGGGCUGCCGGGAAGGAAGGCCACACCCUCUCCUGAGAGGUGGGGGCCAGAGACCCACGUUGGCAGUGGGGUUUGCCAGGGCCCUGCCGUGGGGUCCUGUCCCUUAGUCUCCAGUGAGAUUGGUGCAUUCUGGGAGUCUCACCAGGUGACAGCCUGGCCAGAGCACCUCCUCUCAGCCUGCCACCAAGGCUGCCUGGAUGCAGACGCGGCUGCGGCCCAGAGCCCAGCCCCACUGUCCCCACCCACACUGCCCCGUCCAGGAGCUCUCUCUGCUGCUGUCCGUGAGAGACAAGCUGUGAAUUCAGGGGCCGGUGGGGGCUCCCUCACCCCUGCCUGUAUCUUGGGCAAAAAAUCUGCCUCCGACGCCAGGCCCUGGGAUCCUGCACAGCAGGGAAGGGGCCGGGGUCUGACUGUCCCUGGUCUUCGUCACUGAGCCACCAAGCCAGCCCCAGUCCCCUCACCUAGAAGACUGUCACAGAGUCGAUGAGAGAAGCAGCCAGGCCCCAUGCCAGGCGCAGAGGUGUGGCCGGCACCUGCCGGAGCUCGGCCGCCCAGCGGAGGGUUGUGGGGACGGACGGCAGCUUGUUCGGGAGGCCGCGUAUCCGUCUUUGAACUCUGUGGUGGCUGCUUCCACGGUCCCGGGAGCUCUACCCGUUACGUGAGUGACCCCGUCCUAGCUCAUCAGCGAUUGAUUCUUCAUAUUAAACCCUCGCCAUUCGAA